UAAUACGAAGGGUGCAAGCGUUACUCGGAAUUACUGGGCGUAAAGCGUGCGUAGGCGGUUUGUUAAGUCUGUCGUGAAAGCCCCGGGCUCAACCUGGGAAUGGCGAUGGAUACUGGCGAGCUAGAGUACGGUAGAGGAGAGUGGAAUUCCCGGUGUAGCAGUGAAAUGCGUAGAGAUCGGGAGGAACAUCAGUUGCGAAGGCGGCUCUCUGGACCAGUACUGACGCUGAGGCACGAAAGCGUGGGGAGCAAACAGGAUUAGAU
rnacentral:rRNA from 1 species